rfam:Danio rerio chromosome 4, GRCz11 reference primary assembly.
GAUAGCGUAGCCAAGGGAUCUAAGACGCUGGUUUUCGGCUCCAGUCUCUUCGGGGGUGUGGGUUCUAAUCCCACCGCUGCCA